rnacentral:rRNA from 1 species
GAGUUUGAUCCUGGCUCAGGAUUAACGCUAGCGACGUGCCUAAGGUAUGCAAGUCGAACGGUCCGCAAGGACAGUGGCAAACGGCUGAGUAACACGUGGGAAUCUCCCUUCAACCCGGUUAUAGCCCCGCGAAAGCGGGGGUAAUCACCGAUAGUCCCUUCGGGGUAAAGAUUUAUCGGUUGGAGAUGAGCCCGCGGCCUAUCAGGUUGUUGGCAGGGUAACGGCCUACCAAGCCUAUGACGGGUAACUGGUCUUAGAGGACGGCCAGUCAGACUGGGACUGCGAUACGGCCCAGACUCCUACGGGAGGCAGCAACUAGGAAUUGUGCGCAAUGGGGGUAACCCUGACGCCGCGACGUCGCGUGGAGGAUGAAGAAUUUCGGUUUGUAAACUCCUUUUCUCGCUGAACAAGUUCUGAGUGUAAGCGAGGAAUAAGUACCUGCCAACCACGUGCCAGAAGCAUCGGUAAUACGUGGGGUACAAGCGUUAUCCGGAUUUACUGGGCGUAAAGUGAUGCGUAGGCGACUUGAUAAGUUUGGUGUUAAAUCUCAUUGCUCAACAAUGGGGCUGCGCCAAAAACUAUCUUGAUUGAGUAGGGUAGAGAAGGGGGGAAUUCCUGGUGGAGCGGUUAAAUGCGUAGAUAUCAGGAGGAAUACCAAUGGCCG